UCCAGCUGAAACACCAGUCUUGUAAAGUUGUUAAUGGUCAUUAUUCCAUCAUAAGUCCUUUCUUUGCAUAGCAAAUUGCUUAACAUCUUAUUUUUGAAAUAACUGUAGCAGGUUUAUACUUAUAAGAGCAUUAAAAGAUCUUUUAAGAGUCCCUGUUCCAGUUAUCCAUAUUCUUAGAUUUUUGUAAAUGGUUUUAAUUUUAAUACUUGCCUAGGAAGCACGCCUGUAGAUGCUCUUUAUUGGGGUCAAACAGGUCACCUUUGAGCAGUGUGAACAGAAGCUUAGCUUUUAGAUCUGUCUGUCCGUAAAUAAUAAUAAAUAGAGCAAAGAUGGCAUAACAGGUAUUUCAGAGGCAGCAGGUGGCUGAGAAGGCAGGUUAUCAGUUGCAGAUGGUAGGACAUUAUCAGAACAAGUACUAGAAACACAAAUGAAAGUAUGCAAUAGAAAGAUUUUUUGAUCAAUUAUCCUUUCCAGUACAGUUGUAUACAUAGAUAAAAAUGUUUAGAUGCUUUUCUCACACACACACACAAACACACACACACACACACACAAGAUAGUUAAGUGGAUAGUAUUUUUAAUGAAUAAGUUUAGGUUCUUUUAUCUUUUUUAUUUUUUAGUUUGGGUUCUAUUAGUUUUUAAUUUUUUGAAAAAGGAUUUUAUUUAUUUAAGAGAGAGAGAGAAUCAGCAGGGGAGAGGAGAAGGGGGUGAGGGAGAAGCCGACUUCCAGCUGAGCAGGGAACCCAGUGGAUGCAGGAUUCAAUCCCAGAACCCCAGGAUCUGACCUGAGCCCAAGGCAGAUGCGUAACCCCAGUUUAGGUUCUUUUAAAUGCUUGGAGUAUAUAUGAAUCUCAGAGCAUGAAUUUUCUAGUAGCAUGUAGUAUAAGAUUGUGAGUCAGAAUUUAUUUACUGAAAUUAAAAAUAUUAGAGAGGGCGCCUGGGAGGCUCACAUGGUUCAGCGUCUGCCUUCGGCUCAGGUCAUGAUCCCAGCGUCCUGGGAUCAAGUCCCGCAUCGGGCUCCCUGCUCCUUGGGAGCCUGCUUCUCCCUCUGCCUCUCUCUCUCUGUCUCUCAUGAAUAAAUAAAUAAAAUCUUUAAAAUAAAAAUAAAAUAUUAGAGAUUAAGGAAAUUGUACAGAAGGGAAAAGGGAGGUAAUACAAAGACAGUUGAGAACCAUUGUUCUAGAGGGCACUCAUAUGGACGUGGGCCAAACCAGCACGACCUCAGAAAUGACCUCAUGAAAGGGAAGAUAUGUCAGUGUCAGAACAGCUGAGAGUAUGAGAUCUUUAAGCAAAUAUUCCAGAUACUGUAUCUGAAUUAAGAAUUAGCUGACAUGUAAUCUUUCUGAAAAGUCAUCUGAUUUUAACCUCUCUAGAAUUUAAAGGUUUUUUCUUAACAGAUACAAAAAUUGGGUCUCCUUCAGUGGAGAUAAAUCCCUGAGUACCAUUUUGUUGUCUUGUUUUUACAUUUCGCAAUAAAUAAGAUUAAAUAAUCCUCUCAAAAAACUUAACAGGGUAUUUUGAUAAUAUGCACCAUAAUAACAAUUUGUUUCUUGGUCAGACAAGGAGAUAAUAAAGUACUUUUUGAUAUUAAAACCAUGUCCUAUUACUGUAUAUUAAAGUCAAAAAUAAAAUUUCCACAGAGAAAAAGGAAAGAAACAAGCAAUGCCAAGUAAAGAUCAUACUUAUUCUGUGAAAUUUACCCAGAAGACAAAGUGCUCAUGUUUGACAGAAAAAUGCUACAGUGUUUGGUCUGGUCUGCUUUGGUAGCCAUCCUGUUGGGUGGGAUGUGCUCUAGCAAUGUGGUUUUGAUUUGCGUUUCACUAUAAUGACGAAUGAUGUUGGUUAUCUUUUCAUGUGCAAUUUAUUGGCCGUUUGUGUAUCUUUGGGGAAAUGUCUAAGUCCUUUGCCCAUUUUUAAAAUUGAGUUUUGUGUUGUUAAGUUAUAGGAGUUCUCUUAUUCUGGAUAUUAACCCCUCAGCAGAUACAUAAUUUGCAAGUAUUUUUUCCCAUUCUUUGGGUUACCAUUUUACUCUGUUGACUUGUGUCCUGUGAAGCACAAAAGUUUUCAAUUUUGAUGUAUUCCAAUUUAUCUCUUCUUUUGGUGUCAUAUCCAAGAAGUCAUAGCCAAAUCCAGUGUCGUGAAGCUUUUUCUCUAUGUUUUCUUCCAAGUAUUUUAUAGCUUUGGCUCUUACAUUUAUGUGUUCAAUCCAUUUUGAGUUCAUUUUUUCAUAUGGUGUAAGGUAAGGGUCCAACUUCAUUUUUUUCCAUGUGGAUUUCCAGUUUUCCCAGCAACAUUUGUGGAAGAGUGUCCUUUCCCCAUUGAAUGAUCUUGGGGCACCCAUGUUGAAAAAUCAUUUGACCAUAUAUGUGAGAGUUUAUUUCUGUUUUAUUCCAAUAGUCUAUAUGUUUGUCUUUAUGCUGGGACCAUACCGUAUUGAUUACUAGUAGUUUUUGCAGUAAGUUUUGAAAUCAGGAAGUGUGAGCCCUCCAACUUUGUUGUUCUUUUUCAAAAUUGUUUUGUCUUUUUGUUGUCCCUUGAGAUUCCAUGUGAAUUUUAAAAUGGGUUUUUCUACUUCUGCAAAAAACUAGAUUUUUGCAGAUCUUGGGGUUUUAAUAGGGAUUGCAUUAAAUCUGUAUAUCACUUUGGGAACAGGUAGUACCCUCUUAUGUGGAUUAUCUCAUUUUAUCUGUACAAUUGGUAGGUACUAUUAUUUUUCUCAUUUUAAGUGUGUGGAAACUGAAGUUUAGCAAUAUACAAUAAAUUCCAAGUUCCACGUGUAGAACGAAGAGAUGCUGCAAUUUGAACACAGGCAGUCUGACUCCAGGGCCAAAGUUGAUAACCGUUUCGCUAUGUUGCCUUUCACAGCUUUGGCCGUGCACAUAUAAAGCAGCAAUAAACUUAGAUAAGCUUUCUGCAGUGAUCCAUGGUUAUAUUGUCCAGGUGGCAAGAUGACAAAAUCAUUUCAGUUCCCAGUAGAAAUUAUUUGAAUAUAUUUUUAGUUGUGUUGCUACACAUCCUAUGCUCCAAACAAAAGAAUUUAAGUGGAAAACAAUUUGAUAAAAUAUAGAAAGUAAGUCUUUGUGGAAGGAGCAGCGUAAGGGACCAUAAUGCCUUUUCCUAGAUGUUGAGGGAAAGUUGAAAGUAAAUGAAUUUUUUUAAAAGUUUGGACUGGAUGACCUUUGCCUUUGAGAGUACUCUGCCAAAAGACAAGGAAGUAUUAUUUAAAUUGUACACUUUCAAGUCUAGACAUACCUUGGUUGCUUGAGGAACUGAACCAUGUUUUCCAAAAUCAUCAUAAUAUUUGCUUCAUGAAGGAGGAUUACUGGAGUGUGAGAAAAGAAUCAGAGAUUUAGAUGAAACCAUUUUGUAGCUGGGGAAGCUAAAUCCAAAGCAGUUACCUUAACUUGCCAAUGUCACGGAUCUAGUCAGGAGCAAAGCCAGACUAGAGCCCAGGUCUUUUGACUCUGAUUGAGGCUUAUUAUACUCAAUGUGCUGAAUUACCUUAUUCUUAAAGAAAUAUGCCAAGGUUGUAAGCAAACCAUAAACUGAUUUAAUCUUUUAACAAAUCUUUUUUUGAGGACCUACACAGAACAAGGCACUAUGCUGAACAUUGUUGGUGAACAAAAAUGUUCAGAUGUAUCCUCAAUGGAUUUUUAAUUGAGAAGGGACUAAGAAGUAUCUAGCAUUAAAAAGACAACUUGCAAAUAUAUCUAGGGAAAAACCCCAGAACAGUAAGUAGCAGCACAUCUCUAAAAGGAUGUUACGCUGAUGAAUUUGCAGUACAGGGAUAUAAGUGGUAGGUAAAAAAUGAAGCCGCAUCAGUUAUGUAUAUGAUAUAGCAAAUAGAUAUUUAAUAUAUUUGAAUCAAAUCAAUAACCUGGGAAGAGUUAACCUACAACCAAGGCUGCAAAACUGUUUUUGUAUCAUGGUGAAUGAUCCUGAGAAUUACACCAAGUAAAGCCAUAUGUAAAUACUAUUCACAGCUAGCAGUUCAAAACUCUCAGGCAGAACUUACCAUAUUUUCUCCACAAAACAGCCUCCCUUCUUAAUGUACUUAGUCAUAAUAAUGACACCACAAUUCCCUUAAGUCAUCAGAGCUCAGAACCCCUGAGUAAAAACCUUUGAUUAUGGUUUUCAAGCUCUUUCUAUUUUUCCUUCUCAUUGUCUCCUUCACCAAUCUCUUCUUUUGUACUCCCUUAUAAAUAACUUCAUGUUUAGACUAUCGUAAUAACCUCAUUAGUCUUCCUAUCUUCUCUCAGUCCUGCAUGUCACUGUCAGGUCAUUCUUCCCAUAGCAAAGUUUUAACCAUAUCACUUUUCUGCUCAAGCUUUAUAUCUCUCCCCAUUUCCUGUAGCAUGGAGUCUAACACCCCAGACUGUCACCAGACACAGAGGCAGAGGCAUAUUUUAACAUCAAAAGAGAGUCUGAUGUAGGGCUUGCCGUAGUGGUUGGAGAGGAAGAAAGUACCCCCCCACACCCUUUAAAGACACUAUCCUUUGACCACCUUUCCACCUGUCUCCUGGUAUUAUUUUCACAGUGCUUUCACUACCAUGUUUUUGCCAUAAUUUUUUUUUCUUUUUUAAAAUUUUUUAUUUAAAUUCAAUUUAGUUAACAUAGAGUGCAUUACUAAUUUCAGGGGUAGAAUUUAGUGAUUCAUCAGUUGCAUACAAAACCAGUGCUCAUUACAUCGUGUCCUCCUUAAUGCCCAUCACCCAAUUACCCCAUCCCCCCACCCAUCUCCCCUCCAGCAACCCUCAGUUUGUUUCCUAGAGUUAAGUGUCUCUUAUGGUUUGUUUCCCUCUCUAUUUUCAUCUUAUUUUCCCUUACCUUCUGCUAUGUUCAUCUGUGUUGUUUCUUAAAUUCCACACGUGAGUGAAAUCAUAUGGUAUUUGUCUUUCUCUGACUUAUUUUGCUUAGCAUAAUACCCUCUAGUUCCAGCCAUGUCGUUGAAAUUGCAAGAUUUCAUUCUUUCUGAUGGCUGAGUAAUAUCCCAUUGUAUUUAUAUACCACAUCUUCUUUAUCCAUUCAUUUGUUGAUGGACGUCUGGACUCUUUCCAUAUUUGGGCUAUUGUGGACAUUGCUGCUGUAAACAUUGGGGUGCAUGUGAACCUUCAAAUCACUAUGAUUGUAUCCUUUGGAUAAAUACCUAGAAGUGCAAUUGCUAGGUCAUAGGGUAGUUCUAUUUUUAACUUUUUGAGGAAACUCCAUACUGUUUUCCAGAGUGGCUGCACCAGUUUGCAUUCCCAUCAACAGUGGAAGAAAGUUCCCCUUUCUCCUCAUCCUUGCCAACACCUGUUGUAUCCUGAGUUGUUAAUUUAAACCAUCCUGACCAAUGUAGGUGGUAUUUCAUUGUGGUUUUGAUUUGUAUUUCCCUGAUGCCGAGUGAUGUUGAGCACUUUUUCAUGUGUCUGUUAGCCAUUUGGAUGUCUUCUUUGUAGAAAUGUCUGUUCAUGUCUUCUGCCCAUUUCUUGACUGGAUUUUUUGGGUUUUGGGUGUUGAGUUUGGUAAGUUCUUUAUAGAUUUUGGAUACUAGCCCUUUAUCUGACACGUCAUUUGCAGAUAUCUUCUUCCAUUCCAUAGGUUGCCCUUUAGUUUUGUCGAAUGUUUCCUUUGCUGUGCAAAAGCUUUUUAUCUUGAUGAAAUCCCAGUAGUUCAUUUUUGCCUUUGUUUCUCUUGCCUUUGGAGACGUGUCUAAGCAAGAAGUUGCUGCAGCCAAGGUCAAAGAGGUUGCUGCAUGUGUUCUCCUCUAGGAUUUUGAUGGAUUCCUGUCUCCCAUUUAGGUCUUUCAUCCAUUUUGAGUCUAGUUUUGUGUAUGGUGUAAGAAAGUGGUCCAGUUUCAUUCUUCUGCAUGUGGCUGUCCAAUUUUCCCAACACCGUUUGUUAAAGAGACUUUUUUCCAUUGGAUAUUCCUUCCUCCUUUGUCAGAGAUUAGUUGACCAUAGAGUUAAGGGUCCAUUUCUGGGUUCUCUAUUCUGUGUCUUUUUUUGUGCCAGAAUCAUACUGUCUUUUUUUUUAAGAUUUUAUUUAUUCAUUUGAGACAGAGAGAUACAGCGAGAGAGCAUGAGCAGGGGGAGAGGCAGAAGCAGGCUCCCUGCUGAGCCAGGAGUCCAUUGCGGGACUCCAUCCCAGGACCCUGGGAUCAUGACCUGGGCCGGAGGCAGACACUUAACCAUCUGAGUCACCCAGGUGCCCCAGAAUCAUACUGUCUUGAUUGAUUACAGCUUCAUAAAUACAGCUUGAAUUCUGGCAUUGUGAUGCCUCCAGCUUUGGUUUUCUUUUUCAACAUUCCUUUGGCUAUUCGGGGUCUUUUCUGGUUCCAUACAAAUUUUAGGUUUGUUUGUUCCAGCUCUGUGAAAAUUGCUUGAUGGUAUUUUGAUAGGGAUGCAUUGAAUGUAUAGAUUGCUUUGGGUAGCAUAGACAUUUUAGCACUGUUUGUUCUUCAAAUCCAUGAGCUGGAAUGUUUUUCCAUUUCUUAAUGUUUUCCUUAAUUUCAUUCCUAAGUGUUUUAUAGUUUUCAGAGUACAGGUCUUUGGUUAGAUUUAUUCCUAGGUAUCUUAUGGUUUUUGGUGCAAUUGUAAAUGGGAUCAAUUCCUUCAUUUCUUUUUCUUCUGACUCAUUGUUAGUGUAUAGAAGUACACCUGACUUCUGUGCAUUGAUUUUACAUCCUAGGACUUCCAGUACUAUGUUGAACAACAGUUUUAUCGUAUUCUUAACAACUGUUAUGUCAACAUACUUUAAAUUAUUGAAAAAGUACCACUUUUCAGGAGAAUUAUGCCCAGGAGGGAUAACUCUCUCUGCUCCCCUUAUAAACCAGGCUUCUGUCAUUCCAAGACCUUCAACAUGGGUCCUAAACUGCCUUACCUAGAUUUAUUUCUUCUUAUUCCUCAACAGUAACCUUCCAAUCCAGCCAAACUGGUUUGUUCACCAUUCAUUCCCUGAAAGUAUCUUGCUGAUUAGCCUAGAGAGGUAUGGAUAGAAAUGGAAAGAAGUAGAAACAGAUCCAACUGAUGGAUUGGAUGGGAGGUGUGACAGAAAGGAACAAAUAAAGGAUGUUUCCUUGGUUUUGGUUUGAUGGAUGAGCUAUUUACUUAUGGAGGAGGAAGGAGUUUAGACAGAAUUCCAGAGAUGCCUAUUAUAUUUCUAAGAGAGCUGUCACAUAGGUAAUCAAUUAAAAUAAUGGAUAUAGUUAAGGUAACAAAGUGUUUUUUAGAGAAAGGAAGCAAAUAGAGGAUCAGGUUCGGAGACAAUCUAACAUUUAGAGGUUAGAUAGAGGAUGAGUCAGCAAAGAAAGAGUGAUCAGUGAAAGAGGAAAACAAGCAGAGUAGAGUUUCAUGAAAGCAAGAGAAAUGUGUUUUAAGUGGGAAAAGUGGUCAAUCUUUUUUUUUUUUUUCCCCAAGAGAGAGGUAGGGAGGGGCACAGGGAAAGAGAAUCUUAAGCAGGGGGCCUCCAUCUCACAACCCUGAGAUCAUGACCUGAGCUGAAGUCAAGAGUUGGAUGCUUAACUGAGCCUCCCAACUGCUCCGUGGUCAAUCAUUUUGAAUGUUAUUUACUGAAGCACUAAGUAAUAGGAGCUUUGUUCACUGUAAUUGGCCACAGUGAAUUGAUGGUAAAUUCAGUAUAGGUGGAGGACCGCUUCCAGACUGGAUUCGGUUGAAGAGGUUAUAAGGUUGGUAAGGAAGUAAAGACAGUAAGUGUAGAUUACCAUUUGAGAAGUUUUGCCAUGAAGGGGAACAGGAAAAUAAAGUGAUAGUGGGCAAGAAAAUAUGAUUCUUGGUUUUUAUUUGGGACAUAUUACAUCAAGUUUAUAUGCUGAUGGAGUGAGCCAUGAGAAAAGAGAAAGACUGAUAGGGUGCAAAUUAUAAAGGGAGGAGGAUUUUGAAUGGGAUCCAGAGCACAAGAGAGAAAUGAGUCCUUAAUACAUCAGGGACCCUUCUCCAUUUAUAACGAGGGAAGAUGGUAAAAUGCAGUAAAUACAGGUAGGUUUGUAGAUUUGAUUGUAGAAACAUGAGAGCAUUUUGCUGUGAUUAACUCUGUAUUCUGCUUAACUUUGAAGUGAAAUUACUACACAAAACUGGUAAUUUGAUGGUACACCCAUGUCUGGUUUGAUUACUGUAUUUUUUUAAAGAAUUAUUUAUUUAUUUUAGAGCAUGUGCACCGGAGUUUGGGGGGUGCAGAAGGAGAGAAUCUCAAGCAGACUCCCUGCUGAGUGUGGAGCCCGAUGUGGGGCUCAGUCUCACGACCCCUGAGAUCAUGACCUGAGCUGUAGUCACGAGUCAGACACUUAACUGACUGAGCCACCCAGGUGCCCCUUUUCUUUUUUUGAUUUGCUUGAAAGAUAAUUGGGAUGAGCAGAGCCAUUCAUCCCCCAUCUUCCACUGCUGCUCUCCUCCUUCAUUCCACUUCUUCUCCUACCCCAGUGGCCAUGGCCAUUCUUGGCAUCCCCUAUGAGUGAUGGUAUCUCAUCAUGGCAGACCAUAGAGAUAAUGAGUUUCAAGGCUAUCACAAGAAAAGAUGGGGGAGCACAAGAAGAUCAACUACUGUCUUAAACAGUUAAGGGAACAAUUGAAAGAACUUACCAAUCAGUAUGAAAAGUCUGAAAAUGAUCCAAAGGACUACAAUCACCCAAAUCUGGGCAAACUGUUUAUGAAGUACUUAAGAAGGUAACUGAAGAAAAAUUCGUUAUUAAAUGAACCAAGAUAUGUUGUCAGUUGUCAUUGUCAGCUUGAAAAAAGUAAGCUGAGGUCAGGAACAAGAGUUGUUUUGCCUGAUUACAUUGAUAUUUGCCAAGAUCCACUGGUUUACAACAUGUCUCAUUAAGGACAUAGGGAAUAUUUCCUUUUGUGAAGUGGAGGGGUUAUCAGAACAGAUCAGAGAAUUCAGAGGUAAUAAUAGAACUACCUCUUAAAACCUAGAAUUAUUGCAUUAUAGGGAUAUCUCCAAAAGGCUGUUUGUUAUAUGGGCCAAUAGUUAAGAAAAACAAUAGCAAGAGCUGCUGUUAGCCAACUGGAAUACAAUUUCUUAAAUGUAGACCAGUACAUUGGUGAAAGUGCUCAUUUGAUCAGAGAAAUGUUUACACCAGGAAUCAUCAGUCAUGCAUUAUUUUUAUGGAUAAAAAAUGAUGCCAUUGGUGGAUACUGGUUUCCUGGAAGUACUUCAGCUGAUAGAUUCAGAGGACUUUAUGGAGUUACCCAAAUGGAAGGAUAUGAUACUCUGCACAGUUAAAAUAAUCAUGGCUACAAACAAGCACAGUGGAUCCUGCUUUGCUGUCUCCAGAUAAAUAGAGAAGAUACACAAUCUAUCUAUAAGCAAGGUUAAAUAGAUUAGUAGAAGCAUUUACGAAGCCUUCAGAUGGCUCUAAUGGA